AUUGAACGCUGGCGGCAUGCUUUACACAUGCAAGUCGAACGGCAGCACGGGAGCAAUCCUGGUGGCGAGUGGCGAACGGGUGAGUAAAGUAUCGGAACGUGCCCAGUCGUGGGGGAUAACGUAGCGAAAGUUACGCUAAUACCGCAUACGAUCUAUGGAUGAAAGCGGGGGAUCGCAAGACCUUGCGCGAUUGGAGCGGCCGAUAGCAGAUUAGGUAGUUGGUGGGGUAAAGGCCCACCAAGCCGACGAUCUGUAGCUGGUCUGAGGGGACGACCAGCCACACUGGCACUGAGACACGGCCCAGACUCCUACGGGAGGCAGCAGUGGGGAAUUUUGGACAAUGGGCGAAAGCCUGAUCCAGCCACGCCGCGUGCAGGAUGAAGGCCUUCGGGUUGUAAACUGCUUUUGUACGGAACGAAAAGGUUUGGCCUAAUAAGCUGAGCUCAUGACGGUACCGUAAGAAUAGGCACCGGCUAACUACGUGCCAGCAGCCGCCGUAA
rnacentral:rRNA from 1 species